CCCAGGGAAGAGCUGAUGUCGCAGCCCAAGUCUGAACGCAGUCUGGAAGCUGAAUCUCCUCUUGCUAGCACCUCUUUCUCUUUUCACAUAAGACUUUCAACUGAUGGCGGAGACCCAACCACAUUAUGGAAGACAACAGCGAGAGUAUUGCAAAACUGUUUUCUCAGCAUCCUGCUGAUUUAACACCUAUAUAAUUCCUGCACCACACUCUGAUUUUAUUGACUUAGGGUUUCCUUACUGGAACAGUCUACGAAGAAGCAAAUUCAAGUCUCGAAGGCCUGAUAUGAACUACCUGGUCCAGCACUUUCAAUCUAUCUGCUUAAAGAAAAGUCUGAAAACAGUGAAUAUUCCUCAAUUUAGCCAAAGACUGAGUGUCCUCCUAUUUAAAAUGGAGAUAAAAACAUCAUACUUGGACUUCAUCAAACAAUUGUGACAACUACUCAAGAUGAUACCGUAGAAUGUGAUUCACAAAGGAGUAUCAAAUAUUAGAACUCUACUCUGCUAUCCAUUAAUCCACAGAAUUGG